rnacentral:piRNA from 1 species
UGCCUGGAAUUGAAAUAGAUACCCGAAC